rnacentral:rRNA from 1 species
AUACGGAGGGGGCUAGCGUUGUUCGGAAUUACUGGGCGUAAAGCGCACGUAGGCGGAUUAAAAAGUUAAAGGUGAAAUCCCAGGGCUUAACCCUGGAACUGCCUUUAAAACUAGUAGUCUAGAGUUCGAGAGAGGUGAGUGGAAUUCCAAGUGUAGAGGUGAAAUUCGUAGAUAUUUGGAGGAACACCAGUGGCGAAGGCGGCUCACUGGCUCGAUACUGACGCUGAGGUGCGAAAGCGUGGGGAGCAAACAGGAUUAGAAACCCGAGUAGUCC